AAGAAUGCGUGAACAGGACACGACUUCAAGUUAGGGAAAAACAAAACUGACACAGCGUGAACAAGACACGACUCUGAUUAAGAAAUAACAGAAAAUCAGACUGGAGACCUCACUGGAGAAUGAAGGACUCACACUGGGGAAAAGAAAAUCCCAAAGGAAAAACAUCCAUUGGGGAGACACAAGCUGACUCCUGGGCAAAAGCAAUAGGAAAC
rnacentral:lncRNA from 1 species